UCUGGUGGCUCAGAUGGUAAAGUGUCUGCUUGCAGUGCGGGAGACCCAGGUUCGAUUCCUGGGUCAGAA
rnacentral:tRNA from 1 species